rnacentral:lncRNA from 1 species
AUUGGUUUUUCUAGAAUGCAAAAUCCUUGAGUCAAGAGAGCUAACAAAAUAUUCAACAUUUAAGCACAACUCUCUCACCAAUAUCUCUCAUUCCCAACUUCUUCCCCUUUCUUUUCUUUUUCAUUGAGCUCGUCUUCAUGCUUUUCUUCUUUUCUUUUCUUUUUCUCAUCAAUUUUUCUCUUUUCACAACAAUUGAGCUCAAUGCCUUUUACUUGCUUUUUCAAUUUUCCCCCGUACAAUCCCAAACUUGAACCUUUUCAUCGCAUACAAUUAAACUCAUCCCAACUCAAGGUAAAGAUUUACAAG